rnacentral:sRNA from 1 species
GAUACCAGGGUUCCAAGUUCAGAAAUCUUCCUGCAAGCAAGCUUGCGUCAGAUUUCCAAACUUGGAACCUGACAAAAACAUGAGUAAGCAGCCAUUUUUCGAAGAAAAAUGAGCGGAUUACGAAUGUUUUUGAGGAUUGUGAGAGUACGAAGUACAGAACAAUCCGGU